CAUUAUCAGUAAAGAAGUUCUGAGUAAACACGUUGUCGUUGAAUACUGCUUCUCUGCCGAACCUUAUUUAGUGCCUCAUGCAGUAAUGUCUCAGUUUCAUCUCGGUCAAUGCCUGCGGGCUAAGAAAACACUCUAAGGAAUUUUGCAAAUGGCAAAGAUUAAAGGUCAAGUUAAGUGGUUCAACGAGUCUAAAGGCUUUGGUUUCAUUACUCCUGCUGACGGCAGCAAAGACGUGUUCGUACACUUCUCUGCAAUCCAGGGUAACGGCUUCAAGACUCUGGCUGAAGGCCAGAACGUUGAGUUCGAAAUUCAGGACGGCCAGAAAGGCCCAGCAGCGGUUAACGUUACUGCU
rnacentral:sRNA from 1 species